rnacentral:lncRNA from 14 species
GUUGCCGGGAGAGUCAGACCUCACUCAAUGGUGUGUACAGGACGCAGCUAAAGAAAGCGACCAUGAACUGGUGUGUUGACUGCCCCAAGCAACGGUCAACAGAAGUUGAGAAUCACUGGGUGGGUGGGGCAAGACAGACAGAGCAAACGGAAGGCUGAGGUGUUGAGCCUCUGAAGAAAGUAGCCAAGAGGUG